AACGCGAAGAACCUUACCUGGGUUUGACAUGCACAGGACGCUGGUAGAGAUAUCAGUUCCCUUGUGGUCUGUGUGCAGGUGGUGCAUGGCUGUCGUCAGCUCGUGUCGUGAGAUGUUGGGUUAAGUCCCGCAACGAGCGCAACCCUUGUCUCAUGUUGCCAGCGGGUAGAGCCGGGGACUCGUGAGAGACUGCCGGGGUCAACUCGGAGGAAGGUGGGGAUGACGUCAAGUCCUCAUGCCCCUUAUAUCUUGGGCUGCAAACAUGCUACAAUGGCCGGUACAGAGGGCUGCGAGACCGCAAGGUGGAGCGAAUCUCAAAAAGCCGGUCUCAGUUCGGAUUGGGGUCUGCAACUCGACCCCAUGAAGUCGGAGUCGCUAGUAAUCGCGAAUCAGCAACGUCGCGGUGAAUACGUUCCCGGGCCUUGUACACACCGACGCGUA
rnacentral:rRNA from 1 species